AUGGCCUCAGGAAAUCUCACCAGGGUGACUGAGUUCAUUCUCAUUGGAGUCUCAGACCACCCAGACCUCCAGAUUCCGCUGUUCUUUGUUUUCCUGUUGAUCUAUGGGCUGAACAUGGCAGGGAACCUGGGCAUCAUCACCCUCACCAGUGUUGACUCUCAGCUUCAAACGCCCAUGUACUUCUUUCUCCGGCACUUGGCUAUCAUCAAUCUCGGGCGACUCUACUGUCAUUGCCCCCAAAAUGCUGGUAAAUUUCUUGGUUUCAGAGAAAACCAUAUCCUACUAUGGAUGUGCAGGCCAGCUGGGUGGGUUCCUGGUUUUUAUUGUUGGUGAGAUUUUCAUGCUGGCUGCAAUGGCCUAUGACCGCUACGUGGCUAUUUGCAACCCCCUGCUCUACAUGGCGGUGGUCUCUCCACGGGUCUGCAUACUGCUGGUGUCCCUCACGUACCUCUACAGUCUGACCACAGCACUGACUGUCUCCUCCUGUGUGUUCUCCGUGUCAUACUGCUCUUCCAAUGUAAUCAACCAUUUUUACUGUGAUACUGUCCCUUUGUUGGCAUUGUCCUGCUCUGAUACCUAUAUUCCAGAAACAGUAGUGUUUACCUCUGCAGGGGCCAAUUUGUUCUUCUCAAUGAUCAUUGUUCUAACAUCCUACUUCCACAUUGUCCUUGCCAUUUUGAGGAUACGCUCCUCAGAGGGCCGACGAAAAGCCUUUUCCACCUGUGCCUCUCACAUGACGGCUGUCACUGUGUUCUACGGGACCCUUCUCUUCAUGUAUUUGCAGCCAAGGACCAACCACUCAUUGGAUACUGAUAAAAUGGCCUCUGUAUUCUACACCCUGGUGAUACCAAUGCUGAAUCCCCUCAUUUACAGCCUGAGGAACAAGGAUGUCAAGGAUGCAUUCAAGAGAUUCCUAAGUAACCCUUGUCAGCCUUUCAAAUUAAUGUAA